rnacentral:rRNA from 1 species
CCUANGGGUGGCAGCAGUGGGGAAUCUUGGACAAUGGGCGCAAGCCUGAUCCAGCCAUGCCGCGUGGAUGAUGAAGGCCUUAGGGUUGUAAAAUCCUUUCGUGGGGGACGAUAAUGACGGUACCCCAAGAAGAAGCUCCGGCUAACUUCGUGCCAGCAGCCGCGGUAAUACGAAGGGGGCUAGCGUUGUUCGGAUUUACUGGGCGUAAAGCGCGUGUAGGCGGGUCGUUAAGUUGGGGGUGAAAUCCCGAGGCUCAACCUCGGAACUGCCUUCAAAACUGGCGACCUGGACCUAAGUAGAGGCAAGUGGAAUUGCGAGUGUAGAGGUGAAAUUCGUAGAUAUUCGCAGGAACACCAGUGGCGAAGGCGACUUGCUGGACUUAUGGUGACGCUGAGACGCGAAAGCGUGGGGAGCAAACAGGAUUAGAUACCCGGNUANUC